rnacentral:rRNA from 1 species
GGGUUGUGAGGUUAAGCGACUAAGCGUACACGGUGGAUGCCCUGGCAGUCAGAGGCGAUGAAGGACGUGCUAAUCUGCGAUAAGCGUCGGUAAGGUGAUAUGAACCGUUAUAACCGGCGAUUUCCGAAUGGGGAAACCCAGUGUGUUUCGACACACUAUCAUUAACUGAAUCCAUAGGUUAAUGAGGCGAACCGGGGGAACUGAAACAUCUAAGUACCCCGAGGAAAAGAAAUCAACCGAGAUUCCCCCAGUAGCGGCGAGCGAACGGGGAGCAGCCCAGAGCCUGAAUCAGUGUGUGUGUUAGUGGAAGCGUCUGGAAAGGCGCGCGAUACAGGGUGACAGCCCCGUACACAAAAAUGCACAUGCUGUGAGCUCGAUGAGUAGGGCGGGACACGUGGUAUCCUGUCUGAAUAUGGGGGGACCAUCCUCCAAGGCUAAAUACUCCUGACUGACCGAUAGUGAACCAGUACCGUGAGGGAAAGGCGAAAAGAACCCCGGCGAGGGGAGUGAAAAAGAACCUGAAACCGUGUACGUACAAGCAGUGGAAGCACAGAGCAAUCUGUGUGACUGCGUACCUUUUGUAUAAUGGGUCAGCGACUUAUAUUCUGUAGCAAGGUUAACCGAAUAGGGGAGCCGAAGGGAAACCGAGUCUUAACUGGGCGUUAAGUUGCAGGGUAUAGACCCGAAACCCGGUGAUCUAGCCAUGGGCAGGUUGAAGGUUGGGUAACACUAACUGGAGGACCGAACCGACUAAUGUUGAAAAAUUAGCGGAUGACUUGUGGCUGGGGGUGAAAGGCCAAUCAAACCGGGAGAUAGCUGGUUCUCCCCGAAAGCUAUUUAGGUAGCGCCUCGUGAAUUCAUCUCCGGGGGUAGAGCACUGUUUCGGCAAGGGGGUCAUCCCGACUUACCAACCCGAUGCAAACUGCGAAUACCGGAGAAUGUUAUCACGGGAGACACACGGCGGGUGCUAACGUCCGUCGUGAAGAGGGAAACAACCCAGACCGCCAGCUAAGGUCCCAAAGUCAUGGUUAAGUGGGAAACGAUGUGGGAAGGCCCAGACAGCCAGGAUGUUGGCUUAGAAGCAGCCAUCAUUUAAAGAAAGCGUAAUAGCUCACUGGUCGAGUCGGCCUGCGCGGAAGAUGUAACGGGGCUAAACCAUGCACCGAAGCUGCGGCAGCGACGCUUAUGCGUUGUUGGGUAGGGGAGCGUUCUGUAAGCCUGUGAAGGUGUGCUGUGAGGCAUGCUGGAGGUAUCAGAAGUGCGAAUGCUGACAUAAGUAACGAUAAAGCGGGUGAAAAGCCCGCUCGCCGGAAGACCAAGGGUUCCUGUCCAACGUUAAUCGGGGCAGGGUGAGUCGACCCCUAAGGCGAGGCCGAAAGGCGUAGUCGAUGGGAAACAGGUUAAUAUUCCUGUACUUGGUGUUACUGCGAAGGGGGACGGAGAAGGCUAUGUUGGCCGGGCGACGGUUGUCCCGGUUUAAGCGUGUAGGCUGGUUUUCCAGGCAAAUCCGGAAAAUCAAGGCUGAGGCGUGAUGACGAGGCACUACGGUGCUGAAGCAACAAAUGCCCUGCUUCCAGGAAAAGCCUCUAAGCAUCAGGUAACAUCAAAUCGUACCCCAAACCGACACAGGUGGUCAGGUAGAGAAUACCAAGGCGCUUGAGAGAACUCGGGUGAAGGAACUAGGCAAAAUGGUGCCGUAACUUCGGGAGAAGGCACGCUGAUAUGUAGGUGAGGUCCCUCGCGGAUGGAGCUGAAAUCAGUCGAAGAUACCAGCUGGCUGCAACUGUUUAUUAAAAACACAGCACUGUGCAAACACGAAAGUGGACGUAUACGGUGUGACGCCUGCCCGGUGCCGGAAGGUUAAUUGAUGGGGUUAGCGGUAACGCGAAGCUCUUGAUCGAAGCCCCGGUAAACGGCGGCCGUAACUAUAACGGUCCUAAGGUAGCGAAAUUCCUUGUCGGGUAAGUUCCGACCUGCACGAAUGGCGUAAUGAUGGCCAGGCUGUCUCCACCCGAGACUCAGUGAAAUUGAACUCGCUGUGAAGAUGCAGUGUACCCGCGGCAAGACGGAAAGACCCCGUGAACCUUUACUAUAGCUUGACACUGAACAUUGAGCCUUGAUGUGUAGGAUAGGUGGGAGGCUUAGAAGUGUGGACGCCAGUCUGCAUGGAGCCGACCUUGAAAUACCACCCUUUAAUGUUUGAUGUUCUAACGUUGACCCGUAAUCCGGGUUGCGGACAGUGUCUGGUGGGUAGUUUGACUGGGGCGGUCUCCUCCUAAAGAGUAACGGAGGAGCACGAAGGUUGGCUAAUCCUGGUCGGACAUCAGGAGGUUAGUGCAAUGGCAUAAGCCAGCUUGACUGCGAGCGUGACGGCGCGAGCAGGUGCGAAAGCAGGUCAUAGUGAUCCGGUGGUUCUGAAUGGAAGGGCCAUCGCUCAACGGAUAAAAGGUACUCCGGGGAUAACAGGCUGAUACCGCCCAAGAGUUCAUAUCGACGGCGGUGUUUGGCACCUCGAUGUCGGCUCAUCACAUCCUGGGGCUGAAGUAGGUCCCAAGGGUAUGGCUGUUCGCCAUUUAAAGUGGUACGCGAGCUGGGUUUAGAACGUCGUGAGACAGUUCGGUCCCUAUCUGCCGUGGGCGCUGGAGAACUGAGGGGGGCUGCUCCUAGUACGAGAGGACCGGAGUGGACGCAUCACUGGUGUUCGGGUUGUCAUGCCAAUGGCACUGCCCGGUAGCUAAAUGCGGAAGAGAUAAGUGCUGAAAGCAUCUAAGCACGAAACUUGCCCCGAGAUGAGUUCUCCCUGACUCCUUGAGAGUCCUGAAGGAACGUUGAAGACGACGACGUUGAUAGGCCGGGUGUGUAAGCGCAGCGAUGCGUUGAGCUAACCGGUACUAAUGAACCGUGAGGCUUAACCUUACAACGCCGAAGCUGUU